rnacentral:rRNA from 1 species
AUUGAACGCUGGCGGCAGGCCUAACACAUGCAAGUCGAGCGGAUGAAGGGAGCUUGCUCCUGGAUUCAGCGGCGGACGGGUGAGUAAUGCCUAGGAAUCUGCCUGGUAGUGGGGGAUAACGUCCGGAAACGGGCGCUAAUACCGCAUACGUCCUGAGGGAGAAAGUGGGGGAUCUUCGGACCUCACGCUAUCAGAUGAGCCUAGGUCGGAUUAGCUAGUUGGUGGGGUAAAGGCCUACCAAGGCGACGAUCCGUAACUGGUCUGAGAGGAUGAUCAGUCACACUGGAACUGAGACACGGUCCAGACUCCUUCGGGAGGCAGCAGUGGGGAAUAUUGGACAAUGGGCGAAAGCCUGAUCCAGCCAUGCCGCGUGUGUGAAGAAGGUCUUCGGAUCGUAAAGCACUUUAAGUUGGGAGGAAGGGCAGUAAGUUAAUACCUUGCUGUUUUGACGUUACCAACAGAAUAAGCACCGGCUAACUUCGUG